rnacentral:snRNA from 1 species
GUUGGUGAGCGUGGUCUGGCCAGGACGUCCGCCGCCUCCCUGAUCCGCAGGGUUGACUGGCCGGUGAGGGGUGUCCCCUUCCCCCUCGCCGCUCCCCGUGUGUCCCUCCCCCGGAAGCUGCGCUCGGUCGAAAAGGGGGACCAUACCUGAAAAGUGGAGGACCCUUCCGUCAAGGGUGUACAAGUAGCUGGGCUCCCCUGCUGGAACCUCCCAGGAAGCUCUCGGGGCCCAUUUGUAGGGGGACGUAGGGUGGUCACACUGCCAAGACUCCAGACACGGCCAGAUGAGGCCCCAGAUGAGGCCCCACGUAGCAGUCUGCCUUCU